AUUGAACGCUGGCGGCAGGCCUAACACAUGCAAGUCGAGCGGAUGAAGGGAGCUUGCUCCUGGAUUCAGCGGCGGACGGGUGAGUAAUGCCUAGGAAUCUGCCUGUUAGUGGGGGAUAACGUCCGGAAACGGGCGCUAAUACCGCAUACGUCCUGAGGGAGAAAGUGGGGGAUCUUCGGACCUCCCGCUAUCAGAUUAGCCUAGGUCGGAUUAGCUAGUUGGUGGGGUAAAGGCCUACCAAGGCGACGAUCCGUAACUGGUCUGAGAGGAUGAUCAGUCACACUGGAACUGAGACACGGUCCAGACUCCUACGGGAGGCAGCAGUGGGGAAUAUUGGACAAUGGGCGAAAGCCUGAUCCAGCAAUGCCGCGUGUGUGAAGAAGGUCUUCGGAUUGUAAAGCACUUUAAGUUGGGAGGAAGGGCAGUAAGUUAAUACCUUGCUGUUUUGACGUUACCAACAGAAUAAGCACCGGCUAACUUCGUG
rnacentral:rRNA from 1 species